CUGCACGGCUUCACACUGCUUGUGUGAACAGAUUCUCUUGUCCCCAAACCGGCGUCACAAGCCAAGAGGAAGAGAAAGCGAAAGCAGUGCAGGUGAGCUCUUUUUCACCUGAGCUACGCAGGUGGACGAUGAGAUGUCUCAGAAGACGGACAGGAACGCCGACCAGGGCGACGGCGGCGGCGUCCCGCAGGCCAUGCUGCGGGUGUUCAGGGACAGCAUGCGGCGGGCCUCCGGCGGCAAGGGGGCGAAGGUCGCCGCCGGCCAGGACGUGGGGUCGCCGUCUUCCCCGCCGUCACCCGAUCCCAACGUGGUCGGGUUCGGGGACUCGCUCAUGAGAAGGGGGGCGUCCAUACGGCGGAGCCUGAAGUUGGGAUCGAAGAAGGAUAAAGGCUUGCGGCCGGAGGCGCUGGUCUCCAAAGGCCCAGGCGUCGACAAGAUGGAGGAGGAGGAGGAGCAGGAGGAAGAGGAGGCGUAUGAGGAGAUGGAGGAGUCGUACACGCUGCCGGAGAUACCUCACACCCCGCUGUCAGUGAUGCAGAUCAAUAAGCUGAUUGAGAUGGAGGUGCUGGAGGAGGCUCACCUGAACCUGCUGGCCCUGCGGCGGGAGUUCCAGCAGGAGCAGGAGCGCUGCAGCGAGGACUCCCCCAUGGAGCUGGCCAAGAAGGAGAAAGACCUCAACCUCCUCUACGGCGAGCUGAGGAACAAGGUCAACGCCAUCGUGCGCGACUCCAACUCCCUUCCCUCCAGGAACAAGGGGCUGCUGGUCGCCGUGGCUCGCAUCAUCCAGGAGGAGGAGAGGAGGGCGGAGGAGCCCGGCGGGCUGGCGGGCAGCUGGAUGGAGGCGUGGAGGGAGGCGGUGGACGAUGGGGUGCGGGCAAAGGUGGCGGGCGUCCAGCUGGAGCGCACGGAGCAAAACGCCUCCUGGCUGGCCGUUCACCUGGGGCUGCUGGGGAAGGCCGUGACGGAGGACCUGCAGCAGGUGAGGGCGGAGCUGCGGCGCUCGUACCCGCCCAGCUUCCAGGUCUUCGGCGCCUACGUCGGCAGCUACGGCCGAGUCGUGGGGCAGCACGUGGGGAAGCUGGAGCAGCGGGCGACGGAGCUGAAGGACCUGCACGCUCUGCUGGACUGGAUCAUCAACCGCUACCAGAGCGAGAGGAUCAUGGGAAGUCCGUCCCUGCAGCCGGACAUGAGGGACCACACCGCCCAGCUGAAGCUGGAGGACGACUUCCUGCCGCGGCUGAGGGACAAGUUCUGCUGCGCCGUGAAGGAGGACCUGAAGGCCUCAUUUGUGAGGAUCAUCACGAUGGAAGACGAGGACUUCUGGAAGGACGGGAAGCCUCCGGAGAAGGAGGACGACCUCCUCAGCCAUCCGAUGCCCAUGGACAUCUGGACGAAAGUGGAGGGAAUCGUUUCAAACUGUCGACUGAUCGACGACCAGCUGCAGCAGAGAGUGAUCUCGUCCUGCCUCCAGGAGCUGAAGGACUUCCCCAAGAGGCUGGAGGCGGAGUUCAGGCGUCGCUGCGACGCGCUCAGGCCGGCGCGCCUCUGGACCGAGUAUCAGAUAACCUACGUCAACUGCUUCGCUGCUUUACAGUGGAGGAGGAAACAGGAAGGGAGGGAUGUCUGGAGGGAAAAUUCUGAAGAGGGAGUGAAAGCGUUGACUAAUUAUUAUGGCGGGAAUCCGAAGGGUCAGCUGAUAAACCCGUUGGGUCACGAGGCAGCACAUGGGGAGGUACCGGGACGCGUGUCCGCAGGAGGUGGACGCCUUCGGAGCGGAGGCGACGGGGCUGACGGCCCGGCUGCUGCAGGCGCUGGAGGAGCAGUUCAAAGAGGAGGUGGAGCCGUACCUGAGGAGGAUGAUGACCAGGAAGUGGCUCACCAACGACGACGACUUCCAGCGUCUCCACCGCCGGGCGGAGCUUCUGUCGCAGCACUGCGCUCUGAUGAGGCCUCCUCAUGCUCAGGAGUUUGCGAGCCGGCUGCACCUGCACGUGUCGAGGGAAUACGUGGGCCAGCUGAUGAAGAGCAACUACUCGUGCAAGAACCGGAAACACGAGAAGGCGGCGAGCAAGAUUCGCUCGCAGUGGGAACGCGUCAGUGAGCACUUUCAAUGCAUGAAGUCGACCCACGAGUGGCUCUACGACGCCGGAGACGACCUGAGCGACGUCGUCGCGCAGAAGAACGCGGCCGACAUAAAGGACCACCUGCAGCCGCUCGUGGAGCACUACCCCGACUUCAGCCAGAAGCACCUGGUGGCCGUGCUGAACUUCCGAGGCCUGCGGCGAGGCCGCGAGCACCAGCUGAUCCUCCAGCGCCACGCCCAGCUGCAGGAGAAGACGGGCGCCGCAGGCGAGAGGAGCCACGCCUUUUUCUCCAACAUGCCGGUCGCCGUCCAGGCGGGCUGCCUCUCCAACGUGCCCUUCUCCUGCCUCGGCUGAAGACCUGCGGCCGGGGGCCUUUUUUUAAAAGGUGGUUCCACACUUUUGUUUUUGGCAGACAAGCGGUUCGUUUCUCACACGGUUGUGAUUCAGUUAGCGGUUUACCGUCGACCCCUGAAGGUCAGCUGGUUCUCUCAGCGACGAGAGGCUCCGUCUGCUCUCACCGGAAGGAGGUCCAGAAUGUUUGUUUAAAAGACAAAUAUUUCAAGUAUGAGGCUUGAGAUCUGCCGAUUUUGAUAAUGAGGAAAAGAUGUAUAUUGCUGUAUAUUUUAACAUGUUGAGAGGAAUCAGGAGGCGAACUGACUCAUUGAUUUGGUCUUUGGUCUCCUCAAAAACGAUGGCUAACGAUAUGUUUCCACUUAUAAAACGUAGAGGCCGCGCAGGGACGCAGCGCGCUACGCAAUGAGAGGGAGGCGUGACAGAAAACGCAGCGUUGUUUUUGGGGCAGAAAGAAAACUUUUCCCAGACGGAUCCUGAUUAGAGUCCGACCAGUGAAAUGUUGCGAAACUUGAAUGUGCCGUGAAGCUCUGAUGGAAUAAAUGAAAAGCAGGUUUCUGCUGUGGAAUGCUCCUUCUCUGGAAUCUGUGUUGGACCUGAAUCUCAGUGUAAGAUCUCCUAAUAAAAAGUGUACUAAA